AUGGGUUUGAAUAAAUCGAUGGGUUGCACGAUACCCUGCUUGAUCUUUCUUGCUGCGAGUCUACUACAUGUACAUGUGCACUCCGAUGAUGAUUCCUUAGGUGAAGGAUUCAUCAACAUAGAUUGUGGGCUUCCAGACGGAUCCAGCUACCUGGACGAGAAAAUAGGUCUCAACUAUACUUCAGAUGAUGGGUACAUAGACACAGGAGAGAACCACAAUAUCUCUGCAGAAUACAAUGCGCAUGAACUGCUCAGGUCAAGUUUGAACCUCAGAAGCUUCCCCAAUGGAGGCCGGAACUGCUACACCUUGUCUCCUGCCACGGCAGGCCUCAAGUACCUCGUGAGAGCAACGUUCAUGCACGGGAACUAUGAUGGCAAGGAGCGUGAUCUCAUCAGGUCGCCACUGGUGUUUGAUGUCUACAUGGGGCUCCAUUUCUGGGACCGGAUCUACGUCAACAGCUCGACUACGAUUUACGUUGCUGAGGCCAUCAUUGUAGCUGCGGUGAGCUCAGUAUCAGUUUGCUUAAUAGACAUUGGCAGGGGGACUCCCUUCCUGUCAUCAAUGGAGAUGAGGAAGAUGAAGAGCUCAUUGUACCCAGCAGCCAUGCACAAUCAGUCCAUCGCGCUCCAGGAACGGCACAGUCUUGGCGCAAGCAGCCUAGUUAGGUAUCCGGAUGAUCCCUACGAUCGUUUGUGGUGGCCAUCACAAGGUACCUCAGGGUGGCUGAAUCUAUCUACAACAAGUGAAAUUAAACGAUAUUCAACCGAUCCAUUCGAGGUGCCAGUUAGAGUGCUCCAAACUGCCGUCACCUCGCCUACCACCUCCACCCCUCUCAACUUGUCAUGGGAAGUUCCUUCUGGCUGGCCGGCCACGGUACUGCCUGGGUACUACCUCAACAUGUAUUAUACCGAUUUCCAGGAGCAACGGCUGCGGGCAUUUGAUGUAUACUACAAUGGCUACCUGUGGGUGCCAAAUAAUCUGUCGAUCACACCAAACUAUCUCUUUUCAGACUAUUCAAAUGCCACAGCUCCAUUCACAGAUAACAGUGGUUUCUACAAUGUCCGCAUCAUCGCUACCAACACCUCUGUGCUGCCUCCCAUGCUAAAUGCAUACGAGAUAAACUACCUCAUCCAGCAUGAUGAUACUGCAACCGAUACACAAGAUGUUGAAGCAAUGAUGAAUAUCAAAACUGAGUACCAAGUUGAGAAGAACUGGAUGGGCGACCCAUGUUUACCCGAAAAAUAUACAUGGAUUGGAUUGACAUGUAAAAGUGAUGGAGUCACAUCAAGAGUUAAAACUUUGGACAUGUCCAACAGUGGUUUGCAAGGUGUGAUAUCUGAACAAUUUUCUCUUUUGAAAUCACUCCAACACCUGAAUUUGUCAUUCAAUAAUUUAUAUGGAGCAGUGCCUGAUUCUUUAACAAACUUAUCGUCCCUUCGUGUCCUUGAUUUAUCGGGGAAUCAUCUUGAUAGUCCAUUUCCUGAAGCUUUAUGCAUGGCAGGUUCACUUACUUUAAGGUAUGACGCCAUGAAUGGAGAUCCAUGCAAUGGAAAAUCGCCAGAGAAGAAAAGCGUACUCCUCAAAAUUGUCGUAGCAGUACCAGUGGUGAUAGUGGCAUUGUUGGCAUGUACAUUGACAGUGUUUUGUUUCUGCAGAAAGCAAGUUCCAAGUGUGCUACCGGGAUGUGCUAAUCUACCAUGUCCAAAAAGUCAUGAAGACUAUAAAGGUCACGUACACACAUCCGACAGCCGUGAAUUCACAUAUGCGGAGUUGGUUGCAAUAACAAAUAAUUUCUCCACAUGCAUUGGUGAAGGAGGUUAUGGGCCUGUCUUCCAUGGUGAAUUAAAAGAUGGUACUCAAGUUGCUGUGAAGAUGCAUUCUCCAACAUCAGCAACAGGAAAAGGGAUGGAAGAGUUUUUAGCAGAGGUUGGGAGCUUAACAACCGUGCACCAUAGGUAUCUCGUUUUGCUCGUCGGCUACUGCACUGAGAAGGACCAUCUAUCUCUAAUUUAUGAGUACAUGCCCAAUGGAAGUCUUUAUGAUAACUUAAGAGGCAGAAAGGCAAUUGUUCAGACACUGGGAUGGCGUGAUCGAGCACAGAUUGCACUUGAAGCUGCCCAAGGUUUGGACUACUUGCACACGGGAUGUGUGUUACCAAUAAUUCAUAGAGACUUGAAGUCCCACAACAUUCUUCUAGGACAUGACAUGGUUGCCAAGAUCUCAGAUUUUGGAUUGUCCAAGUCAUACAUCAAUCUGGCACAAAGUCACAUAUCUGUGACAGCUGCAGGAACUCUAGGCUACAUCGAUCCAGAGUACUGUGUUAGCGGCAGGCUCACCACAAGUAGUGAUGUCUUCAGCUUUGGAGUGGUUUUACUAGAGAUUGUCACGGGUGAACCUCCAAUCUUACCGACCCAUGUGCAUAUCGUGCAGCGUGUAAAGGAGAAGGUUAUCAUGGGCAACAUUGAGACAAUAGUUGAUCCACGACUACACCGUCAGUAUGACUUCAGUUCCAUUUGGAAGGUUGUGGACAUGGCACUGCUUUGCACAAGAGAGUCAUCUAGUGAGAGGCCAACAAUGAGUAUGGUGGUCUCUCAUCUAAAGGACGCCCUAGAACUGGAAGAAGCACGUGCAAGUGCAAGCACCAUUAGCCAAGUCGGUUCUAAUGCCGACCUGUCAAUCAGCUGGGUAGCAUCUGGAAGAUGA
rnacentral:rRNA from 1 species